UGCAAGGCUCUGGGCGCACACUUGCAGGGAGGUGGUUAUUGCCCUCUUGGUUGGCUUCCUGCAGAGGAGUCAGGGAAGGGGCUGUGGAGGAGGCCCUUCCUGCCUGAGACCUGAGGGCACAUGAGAGCUGACCAGGAGACUGUGGGGUGUGAGCUUCUCUGGCAGAAACAAAUGUCAUGAGUAUUAUCAGAGAUGGGGCACAAAUAAAUAGGAAGAACCUACAGCUCACAGCUACUUGGAGGCUCCCGAAGGAGGCUGCCUGUCCCCCAUGUACAGAGCCCCAGAGGAUGCAGUCGGGAAGUGAAGAAUCACAAGCCCUGUAACAUGAGUGUGGUCCAAUCCUCAGCCGAGCAGCAAUACAGAACCGCAGGACAAUGAGGACACCACCCUGCCCAUAGCUUCCUGUGCAGAUGCCUAAAGUACCAAAAUGGACCAGCAAGGGACACUUACCUGGGGGCUGCGCUACAUGGCUCUGGUGGCUCUCUGCUGGACACACGGGGUGACAGAGGC